UAUACCUACGGGGGGCAGCAGUGGGGGAUAUUGGACAAUGGGGGGAACCCUGAUCCAGCGACGCCGCGUGAGUGAAGAAGUAUUUCGGUAUGUAAAGCUCUGUCAGCAGGGAAGAAAGAAAUGACGGUACCUGACCAAGAAGCCCCGGCUAACUACGUGCCAGCAGCCGCGGUAAUACGUAGGGGGCAAGCGUUAUCCGGAAUUACUGGGUGUAAAGAGAGCGUAGGCGGUUAUGUAAGUCUGGAGUGAAAGCCCGGGGCCCAACCCCGGGACUGCUUUGGAAACUGUGUAACUGGAGUACAGGG
rnacentral:rRNA from 1 species